rnacentral:lncRNA from 1 species
GAGAACCAAAUGAACUUGAUUCUUGGCUAAGCGGUCUAGCAUGAACUGUUAGGUUGAUCUAAUCAAAACUAAUUAAACCAGUUGGUGUCUAAGGUAAACCAGACCGGUAGUUUUUAAUUGGCAGCCGCUUACCUGACCAUUUCUGAUGGUGUCUAAGGCAAGCUUUGGCAGAUCCUCCCACCGAUCGAACUUACCUGGCCUCUUGGUGAAAUUAUAUUUUGAU